GAAGAGAGGAGAGAAGAGAGAGAAAGAGAGAAGGUGGAAAAAAAAAAGCCAACCAAUAAAACCUUAACACAUCCCUGAUGAAUCCCAUAAAAGAGACCUUAACACAUCCCUGAUGAAUCCCAUAAAAGAGAGUCUUUAAAAAAUUUUGGAAAAAACCUGUAAAAAAAAAUUUACCGUUUUACUUUUAUUUUAAUACAAUAAUUUUAUGAACUUCUCUUUAAGAAACAACAUUGGAGGUGCUCUUACAUCACCAACUAAACAUGAAUUUUUUUGUUCGGUUUAGAUUAAAAAGUAUGACCAUUUUAAUUAUAUUUUGAAUUUUCGUGAUAAAUUUUACUUACAUAUGACAAUUUUAUUAUUUAUUUUAUAUGUUUGAUUUUAUGUCGUUCUCCACUCCAAUUUACGUACUUAUUAUAUCCGUCGUGAGAUACAUGAUAACAUGAAUUGCCACUUGCAUCUUUUCCUAGCAUACUAAUUCUUGGACGACGAUCGAGGAUGAUAAAUCACUUUGAAAACAUAUUAUUGUACACCGUUCUUUUUUUUGCAAAUCUACUGCUUUAAAUUAUAUAUCAGCUUUAGAAAUAACUUAUAUACAUAGUGGAUUUUAAUUUUAAUUCAAGUGAAAGAUGCUGUUAAGGUUUUACUUUUCCAACAGUAUAUAGUAGUAAGGUUAAUUUAAGCAGUAUAUAUAUGUAGAUUUUUUUCUUACUAACUAGUUAUCCGAUAUAUUUUUUUUUGUUAACUAAUUUAUCCUAUAUUGUUUGUAAAGUAACUGAUAUAUUAACCGAUAUAUAUGUAGAAAAGAAAAUAACAAACAUAUAGAUGGGUGCUUGUAUACAUUGAAAAUGUCUUAAUGACAAGAUGCUAAUGAGUAUUGAUCCGAAAAUAUUGUUGUCGGAUGCGAUUAUCAUAAGAUUUGUCGGCUUAGAGGAUUGUUAUUUUAAAAUAAUUAGGUUAUUAUUAUAUCUGGGAUAGUUUUAUGUGGCUCUAAAUGCUUCCAACGUCUUAUAAAAGGAAAAAAAUAAUCAAAAGGCGUGUAGAUAAAUGUAAUAUGAUAAACGAUAUAGGCCAACAAUAUGGAGGCGAACGUUUUGUAGGGUGAAAAAUCGUCAUGUGGAUGUAUCCGAUAAAAGGAAAAUAUUUUGUCAAUAAAAAAAACACGUGAAAAUUUAGAAAUAUUCGUUUGUGUUCUCCAAGUAUUCAAGAUAUUAUUAACGCAGUAUUUAGAUCAUAAAUUUAGGUAAAAACAAAAAAAAAAUAAUCAGAAAGCAUAAAAAUUAAACAUUAUUAUAUCAUAAUUUAUUAUUUUUGAGCUUUAAUAAUAAUAUAGAAAAAAGUUAAAUCUUCUUUAUCAAGCACGUUUUUAUAAAACAAGUCUCUCUUUCAAAAAAAAACUCUAACCUUUUCGUUUUUCUUCACUCUUUCGCCUCUCCGAUUACCAGCACUUUUUGUCGGUGUCGUGAGAGGGCUUCUUUUUCUUUGCCUGUGGUUAGGCCUCAGCUCUGGUUCUUUUGGUGGCUUUGUCAUGCUUUCCGGCGAGGUGGCUUUGAGUUGUCGAUGGUGGAAGGUGGAAGUCGCCUGCAGAUCCAGAUCUGACGAGGACUAGGGUUCGGUGAUGCUUCCUCUUUGGCUUCCGUCGGAAUCCUCGACGUCUCCGCUGUUAUAGUUCUGGUGCUGCUCAGCCGUCGUCAAGGUGGAGAUGCGAGCCUAUGGGUUGCCGAGAUGCGUUAAGGAUUGUUGAGUAAGCUCGCUUUUUUGAAGACAUCAGCGGGUUUUGAAAAGAAUUCUUGGAGGAGUUGAUUUAGGGCAUUCGCGGAGUGAUGGCGUCUUCUUUGGUUGCAGGUUUUUGCGAUUAGGGCUUCUCGUUUUCCACCCAAUUUUACAGAUUUUGCCUUUUUGGAUCGGGUUGUGUCUUUCCAGGUUCAUUAUAGGUUACAGAUAAGGUUUUCUCACUUAUUUUUUUUUUUUCCUUUCUAGACUUUUAGUAUUUAAUUUCAAAUCUGCUUAGGUUUAAUAUGUGUAAUUGGAAAAAACAAAAGAAUUUUGAUAUGACAAUCCUUUAACAAAAAAAUAUAUAUAGAAAAAAAGAUAAGAAUAUUUUGG
rnacentral:lncRNA from 1 species